rnacentral:lncRNA from 1 species
AUGAAGACCCAGACUCCCCAAAUAGGUUUCCUUUCCCAACUAGUUCAGCCAGAAACUGUGAGGCUUGGGUUGACAUCACAAUAUCCCUUUUCUCAGGAGCUGUGCUUUUGGUGGGUGGGGCUGGGGGAGGGGUGGACCUGGCAGGAGUCAUCUCCACUUAGCCUACUUUAUAUCAAGAAUGAAUUAGUAGCCGCAACAGGCCUCAGCUGGGCCAUAUCUGGAGAACUGGGGUGGGGGUACAACAUCACAAAAUACCUGGCCCCAGUCUGGUCACUCAUCCCCUUUGGGGCAACAAGGAAACCAGCCUGCGGCCUGAGAACGCAACGCCUGAAACAGAGGCCAGAGGAAGUGUUUGCCCGCCCUCACCCCUCUGCCCCUGCUUCCACCUGCUCCCCAUCUGCCCACCCACUAAGGUCCAUGCCGCAUGUCAUCGCUCAAACACCCAGGAUGGCCCAGUGUGGGCGUCAUUCAGGGCUGCCUGCAGAGAAGAAGAUCUCUCUGGGUGUCACUAGGGUGAUAGUGAAGACACCAGGCAAGCAGGAAGACUUUGUGAUAGCCAGUGAUACCUCGGUGAGGCAGUUCAAGGAGAAGCUAUCGGCUCACUUUAAAUGCCAAAUGGACCAACUAGUGCUUGUCUUCAUGGGCUGCCUUCUCAAAGACCAUGACGUGCUGAGCCAGAGGGGCAUCCUGGACGGUCACACCAUCCACGUGGUCAUCAAGUCCAAAAAUGGCUCCAGAUCCCUAGCCCAUCCCUGGCACCAGGACAAAAACACCAAAGGAAACAGCAGUGGGGUAUACCAAUCUGCUGGUAUGGGUUACACCCCAGUGGAGUCAACUCUUUCAGAGGAUGUGCCCAAGGUGCAUACCCAGGACUUGAAAGUGGGUAGUCCAGAGCACGUAGCACAGACACUGGAGAAUCCUAGCAUCCAGCAACUCCUGUCCAACACAGACUUCAUGAGACAGUUCAUCUCAGAACACCUAGACACGCAGCAAUCGAUGCAGCAGAACCCAGAGGUCUCACACAUCCUUGACAAUUCCGAGAUCCUGUGGCAGACUCUGGAAUUGGCCAGGAACCUGGCAGUGAUUCAAGAGAUAAUGCAGAUCCAGCAACCUGCACAGAAUCUUGAGAGUCCACCGAACCCACAGUCAUAUGUAGGCUUAGAGACUGUCCCAGGAUGGGACAAUGCCUCAGGUCAGAGUUCUGCUGAUUUCAAUGAUCAGAUGCUCAACAACACACAAGAUCCAUUUGGGGGCAACAUUUUCACAGCUCUCCUGGGAGGACAAGUGCCAGAGCAAGUACAGUUUUCAUUCCCAUCACCACCACCAUCCCAGGAACAACAGGAACAUCUCCCACAGCCCCCUACAGCCCGAGUCAUCUAUGCUAGUUCUCGAGGCGUAUCUUCAAUCAGUUCUACCCCCAGCAUGGCAAAUCAUACUUCCAGAGCCAGUACUUCUAACUCCACUAAUGGUCAGAGUCAUGCUUGUGCAGUGGAGCAGCCAAUUGGGAUACCAGCCUUACCUGGCAGAGAGCUCAACCAGCUGCCCCAGGCAGAAGACAAAGAUGCCACCAUUUCUCUAGAUAGCUCUAACCAGAAACCAGAUGAUCUCCAGCAGUCAAAUGAGCAGACCAGCUCCCAGAUCACAGGAAACAUGAUGCAACUGCUUUUGAACAACCCUUCCCUGGCAGCCCAGAUGAUGUUUCAUGAGCGUGCCCCAGCUGAGUGA